rnacentral:rRNA from 1 species
UCGGGAAUUUUGGGCAAUGGGCGAAAGCCUGAUCCAGCCAUGCCGCGUGAGUGACGAAGGCCUUAGGGUUGUAAAACUCUUUCGUCGGGGACGAUAAUGACGGUACCCGAAGAAGAAGCUCCGGCUAACUUCGUGCCAGCAGCCGCGGUAAUACGAAGGGAGCUAGCGUUGUUCGGAAUCACUGGGCGUAAAGCGCACGUAGGCGGAUAGUUAAGUCAGGGGUGAAAUCCUGGGGCUCAACCUCGGAACUGCCUUUGAUACUGUUAGUCUCGAGUCCGAUAGAGGUGAGUGGAAUUCCUAGUGUAGAGGUGAAAUUCGUAGAUAUUAGGAAGAACACCAGUGGCGAAGGCGGCUCACUGGAUCGGUACUGACGCUGAGGUGCGAAAGCGUGGGGAGCAAACAGGAUUAGAUACCCCUGUAGUCCCUGAGCGGGCUGGCAAGGCGCAU